rnacentral:lncRNA from 1 species
CCUCACGUCCCUCACCCCUACAUUCCAACUCCCAACAGCACCCCUUACGUCGUCCCAACACCAUACCCCAUUUUCCUUCACGCACACACACGAACCCCACGUCCCCACUUUUUUUUUUUCAUCAACACAAACUCUAUAUAUAGUUCACACAACACACACACGGGGGAAGAAGGCAACAGACAAAACAAAGAAAAAUUGAUAGACAAUAGAAAAGAACUUCUAUAUCUUUUCAAGGAAAUUGCUCACGUAGAAAGCUUGGAUUCCGAAAAGAGUUUAAGUUCGAGUUUGUGGUUCUGAUUUUCCUCGGGGAUUUUAAUUCUGAUCUUGAUUUUUAUUUCCAUUUACGGUUAUCAUUCCGCUUGGAAAUACAGAGCAAAAGUUGUAUGUCAAUUUUCUGCUAUUAUUAUUAUUCUCAAAGAAGCUUCAUUCUACAGGUUUUCUUCUAAUUAUUCUUUUAUAUAUUUUAAUAUAUUUUACUGUGAACAUGAAUUUUAACCAUGUAAAAGAUUUUGUUUUUCUUUAGUUUUGAGUGUGAAUAUUAUUUAGGUGCUUAAUAUGUGAUCUCACUCCUCCAAAGUCGUAUGUUCUUUCUUUUAAUUUAUUCUUCUUCUUUAUCCAAUUUUGACAAUGUAAGCUUUGUACCACAUGAAGCUUGUUAAUUAUAUAUAUUUUACUGCAGGAAAAAUUGUUUGUCUUUCUUUUGUAAUGUUUGUAUUUGGUAUUAAACUUUUGUUUGUCUUUCUUUUGUAAUGUUU